AUUUUUUCUUACUUUGGGCUUGGCUCGGGGGAGGGAAAGGUUAGGUUUCAAUCAUAAAAUCUCGACUACGGCAAAGGUAUCUACUCGGUUCUACAUGAAGGCCAAUAGAAUGGCUACCGAAUGCUUUUCAGGUGCCUUGUAUCUAGUCGGUUGAUUGGAUGACUAAUCGCACCUCAUCUUCUUCGAGCUUACUUUGCCCUCUGUUUUGAGAGAAUCGUGCCCCAAUUUAUAAGUGCGGUCGUCUGAAACGUGGACGGGAUUCGCGCGUAACGUCGCAUUUUGGACAAUUCGGUUCGAUUCGCUUGCGACGUCGGGAAUGCCGUUUAAAGUAAGUCGCGCGAUUUUCGUAUUUGGAUAUGCACGCGAGCAAGGCGUGCGCCGCGAACGCGUGUGAGUUAGUGUGGUGAGUGCCUCGAAGGAUUGCUGAGAGGAGGAGGAGGCCUAGGAGGCAUCGGGCGACAGCAGAGCAACGAUAUGAUCCAUCGAGCACCAUUCGCAAUUUUGUUCAUCGUUGCUCUUCAUCGCUACAUAUUGAUUCAGCUGGAGACGUAAUUGAUUAGUGCUACAACGUUUGGUGGUUUCAGAACGCGGAGUCGUUGCGGCGUAGCGGCGGUGAGGGAAGGAAACAGAGACGCACAGCCGCUCGCGAUAAGCAGGCAGCAGACUUGGCUCGUGUCGUAAAUGGGAAACCGAUGCACGCGACAAAUGCACGACAAGGAAACGAAAAAGGUGGAGGC